rnacentral:rRNA from 1 species
UUAAGCAUAUCAAUAAGCGGAGGAAAAGAAACCAACAGGGAUUGCCCUAGUAACGGCGAGUGAAGCGGCAAAAGCUCAAAUUUGAAAUCUGGCUUCGGCCCGAGUUGUAAUUUGUAGAGGAUGUUUCGGGCACCGCCCCGGCGUAAGUCCCUUGGAACAGGGCGUCAUAGAGGGUGAGAAUCCCGUCUGGCGUCGUGGUAGGGCCCAUGUGAAACUCCUUCGACGAGUCGAGUUGUUUGGGAAUGCAGCUCAAAAUGGGUGGUAAAUUUCAUCUAAAGCUAAAUACUGGCCAGAGACCGAUAGCGCACAAGUAGAGUGAUCGAAAGAUGAAAAGCACUUUGAAAAGAGAGUUAAACAGUAUGUGAAAUUGUUGAAAGGGAAGCGCUUACAACCAGACUUGAGCCCGUCGGUUCCCCCUCGCUUCUGCGUGGGCUACUCCGGCGGGUCCAGGCCAACAUCGGUUCGGGUGGCUGGUCAAAGGCCCCGGGAAUGUACCUCACCUUCGGGUUAGGCUUAUAGCCCGGGGUGUCAUGCGGCCUACCUGGACCGAGGAACGCGCUUCGGCUCGGAUGUUGGCGUAAUGGUUGUCAGCGACCCGUCUUGAAACACGGACCAAGGAGUCGAAGAGCUAUGCGAGUGUUUGGGUGUCAAACCCGUACGCGUAAUGAAAGUGAACGGAGGUAGGAAGCUUCGGCUGCACUAUCGACCGAUCCUGAUGUUCUCGGAUGGAUUUGAGUAAGAGCAUAACUCUCCGGACCCGAAAGAUGGUGAACNNNNNCUGAAUAGGGUGAAGCCAGAGGAAACUCUGGUGGAGGCUCGCAGCGGUUCUGACGUGCAAAUCGAUCGUCAAAUUUGGGUAUAGGGGCGAAAGACUAAUCGAACCAUCUGGUAGCUGGUUCCUGCCGAAGUUUCCCUCAGGAUAGCAGUAACGUUUUCAGUUUUAUGAGGUAAAGCGAAUGAUUAGAGGCCUUGGGGUUGAAACAACCUUAACCUAUUCUCAAACUUUAAAUAUGUAAGAAGUCCUUGUUACUUAGUUGAACGUGGACAUUUGAAUGUAUCGUUACUAGUGGGCCAUUUUUGGUAAGCAGAACUGGCGAUGCGGGAUGAACCGAACGUGAGGUUAAGGUGCCGGACUGCACGCUCAUCAGACACCACAAAAGGUGUCAAUGCAUCUAGACAGCCGGACGGUGGCCAUGGAAGUCGGAAUCCGCUUAGGAGUGUGUAACAACUCACCGGCCGAAUGCAUUGGCCCUGAAAAUGGAUGGCGCUUAAGCGUGCGACCUAUACCUCGCCGUCAGGGUUGACAUGAUGCCCUGACGAGUAGGCAGGCGUGGAGGUUUGUGACGAAGCCUUGGGGGUGACCCCGGGUCGAACAACCUCUAG